rnacentral:lncRNA from 1 species
UUGGAUUCUCAUAACUUGGCUUGACUUAUUGCAGAUAUUUCAUUGUUGCCUAGAAAAGAAAAAUGGAUUUACUUGUGUUGAGUUUCUUCUAAAAAUCUUGGAUUUUGAUCCUUGGAUCAAAGCUUGACCCUUGUGAUCAUUGUUAUGUAAUGUUACUUGUUGGCUGAUCACUGAAGUGUCAUGUUGUCUUAUAUGUCCAUAAGUUAUAAAUCUCAAAAUCUCAAUCCUUAUCCAUCUCAAAAUCUAUCUUUUUGGAGCUUUCUUGACUCUAUCGGAACUUUCGAUACACUAUCGAAACUUCCAAUAACCACCAUAGGUAUUAGAUAAGUUCCGACCGUGGGUGCUCAGGAGACUUCUUUUUAUUAUCGGAACUUCUGACACAUCAUCGGAACUUUCGUUAACCUUUGGAUCUUUCCUAUUUCUUCUGAUAGAGGGUUCUCGAGAGAUCUUUUUGUUGUUCAUCGGAACUUCUGACGGUCCCCCUGGGGUUAUAUAUACCCAUUGAACCAUGCUCCCUCAAACCCUAAAAUGCUCCAACAGUCCAAACCGGCACCCUCUCUCUUUUCCCACUCCACCACUUAAGGAGAUCUAGAGUUUUGACCGUGGAAAGUUGAAGCCCUUGCUAUCUUUGCAUUUUCCACUCCUUGGAACAUCUGAUCCACCUUGGAAAUCAUCUGAUCUGCAUGGGAAAUCUUUGAGGUAACCUAUUUAAAAAUCUCAUUGCCCGAUCUCUCACUUUUGGGGGAUAGACUCUAGAUACAUCUUAGAACUCAUGCCUGUGAUAUCUUUUGGAUUGGUGGGCUAAAUCUCAAAUUCCAUGAAUUUUGGAUGAACUCGGGUUCCGUCGGAACUUCCGAUGCUGGAUAAAAACUUCCGACAAUCGGAAGUUCUGACUCCUGCUCAGAAGUUCCGAUAAGUGCCUAAGGUUUCUAUUUUGAUUCAUGUGCACGAUCUCUCUGAUCCAUUCAUG